UCCCUUGUGGCUCAGCUGGUAAAGAAUCCGCCUGCAAUGCGGGAGACCCGGGUGCGAUUCCUGACUUGGGAA
rnacentral:tRNA from 1 species